ACAUAAUUAUAUUCCUAUUGUCAUGUUGGGUCGAGCAGUUAGACCAUGUAGUGUUUUCUCAUUGCACAAUGUUUGCAAAUCAAUAAGGAGAAAGCCUGAACAAUGCGAUGACGUUGGCCAGGAACCCGGCCCGAGUCACCCAGGAGGCGGCUCUGCAGUUUCUCAGGAGGACACAUUUGGACCUGACCUUCACCACUGGUCAUGUGAGAAAGCCUCUAUACCUGGUUCCUCAACGUCUCCGUUUAGAAGACUGCAUCAGCAAAACCAUCCUACCAUGGGAAUUAACUGAUGGAUGUGUCUGGACUUCCCAGGGGGUUCUCCAUGGACAGUAUUGUGCUGUUAAAGACGAGGAGACGGAGACCUAGAGGAAGUCAUUUGUACAAGGCCAUAUGGCUUGCUCCUGAUAGAUCUGGAAUUUGGACUCAGGCAGCCUGGUUCUGGAGCUGAAUUCUGAACUACCUAUAUCAUCCCACCUCAGUCCAGUGAGAGAACGUGUCACCUGAGUGCUCAAGAUACAUCAAGAGCCCGACCAUGUCCUGGAGCCUCUUAAGAGCGAAGCUCAGGGUGCAGGACCUGAGAGGGUGUUAAUCAGCCGCUUCCAUUUUUUUCUUAAUAUGGGAAGACCAGAUUUUGCUUGGCUUCUGGAAACCGCUGCCAUCUUGCUUUUCCUCCUACUUCAGCUCUUGGUCUCCUGUGCAGCUGGCUUUUCCUUCUUCCUGACUUUUCAAGCCCAUCCUUGGACCUCUUAUCUUCUCCAUCAAAAUUCUCUCCCUGGAUGAUUUCACUGAGGCCGAUGGCUUAAAUCCCUUAGAAAUACUGAUAGCUCCAAAUCCCUAUCUUUAGCCUGGCCUCCUGCCCUAGAAUUCACUUGUCUAAGUGCCUAGUGGAUUUCUCCACUUAGAUGUCUCAUAAGCAUUUCAAACCUGCCCAAAACGAAACUUGAUUACCAUCCCCAAACCACUCUUCCCUAAGAAAAUGGUGUCCCCGUUCCACCAGUUGCUCAGGCAAAAACCCUAGCAAUCAGCCUCACUUGCUUUCAUUCUCUCUCAUCUCCCACAUCAAACCCAUUAGCAAAUUCUGUUGGUUCUUUUUUGAAAUGUACUCGGAGGCUACUUCUCACCACAUGCUCUGCUAUGGUUCUAGCCCAAGCCACUGUCAGUCUCUCCCAGAGACACAAGCUGUACCUUCCUAACUCGCACCCCUGUGUGCAUCCCUGUGUGCAUCCCUGCUCACCCAAAGCCAACCCUUUGCAUAUAACCAGAGUGAUUUUUUUGAAAUGUAAAUAAGAACCGGUCACCACCCUAUUCAAAUCCUCCAGGGGCUUCUCAUUUCUCUUAGAACAAAACCCAGACUCCUGACUACAGCCCCAAAGCCCUACAUGAUCCUGCCCCAUUUACAGCUCCAGGCUCAUUACCUACCUCGUGCUCCCAGCCCACGGAUCAUCGCCUACCACAUGCUCCCAGCCCCCGGAUCUCCAGCACAUCAGCCUCUUGGCUCUUCUUAGAACUCCCUGAAUUCACUCCUGUCUCAAGGACUUUCCUGUGCUUUUCCUUAGACAGGAGACACCCCUCCCAGUUCACAUGGCUCACUCGCUUCAUCCAGGUCUCUUCUCCAGUGUCCCCUCCUUGUGACCCCUGGAUCUAAAGGAGUUGAACCACCCCACUCCUACCCUUAUAUUCUCAUAGCUCCUCACGCUGCCUCACUUUUAGCAAGAUUUCAUUAAAAUUUUAUUGCUGUCUAAAAUUCUAUUAUAUAUUUAACCAUUUACUUGUUUAGUAUCUGUGUCUUCCAUUAGCAAGUAAGUUCUGGCCAGGCGUGGUGGCUCACACCUGUAAUCCCAGCACUUUGGGAGGCUGAGGCAGGCAGAUCACCUGAGGUCAGGAGUUUGAGACCAGCCUGGUCAACGUGGUGAAACCCUGUCUCUACUAAAAAUACAAAAAUUUGCCGGGUGUGGUGGCAUGCACCUGUAAUCUCAGCUACUCGGGAGGCUGAGGCAGGAGAAUCGCUUGAACCUGGGAGGUGGAGGCUGCAGUGAGCCAAAAGAAAGAAAGAAAGUAAGUUCCAUGAA
rnacentral:lncRNA from 1 species